CCUACGGUUGGCAGCAGUGGGGAAUAUUGCACAAUGGGGGAAACCCUGAUGCAGCGACGCCGCGUGAGUGAAGAAGCGCCUCGGCGCGUAAAGCUCUGUCAGCAGGAACGACGAUGACGGUACCUGAAGAAGAAGCCCCGGCUAACUACGUGCCAGCAGCCGCGGUAAUACGUAGGGGGCAAGCGUUAUCCGGAUUUACUGGGUGUAAAGGGAGCGUAGACGGCGGGGCAAGUCUGGAGUGAAAGGCCGGGGCCCAACCCCGGGACCGCUCUGGAAACUGGAAGGCUGGAGUGCGGGAGGGGUAAGCGGAAUGCCUGGUGUAGCGGUGAAAUGCGUAGAUAUCAGGAGGAACACCAGCGGCGAAGGCGGCUUGCUGGACCGUGACUGACGUUGAGGCUCGAAAGCGUGGGGAGCAAACAGGAUUAGAUACCCGUGUAGUC
rnacentral:rRNA from 1 species